AUUGAACGCUGGCGGCAGGCCUAACACAUGCAAGUCGGACGGUAGCACAGGGGAGCUUGCUCCUCGGGUGACGAGUGGCGGACGGGUGAGUAAUGUCUGGGGAUCUGCCCGAUAGAGGGGGAUAACCACUGGAAACGGUGGCUAAUACCGCAUAAUGUCGCAAGACCAAAGAGGGGGACCUUCGGGCCUCUCACUAUCGGAUGAACCCAGAUGGGAUUAGCUAGUAGGCGGGGUAACGGCCCACCUAGGCGACGAUCCCUAGCUGGUCUGAGAGGAUGAACAGCCAAACUGGAACUGAGACAAGGUCCAGACUCCUACGGGAGGCAGCAGUGGGGAAUAUUGCACAAUGGGCGCAAGCCUGAUGCAGCCAUGCCGCGUGUAUGAAGAAGGCCUUCGGGUUGUAAAGUACUUUCAGCGGGGAGGAAGGCGAUGUGGUUAAUAACCGCGUCGAUUGACGUUACCCGCAGAAGAAGCACCGGCUAACUCCGUGCCAGCCGCCGCCGUAA
rnacentral:rRNA from 1 species